rnacentral:lncRNA from 1 species
CUGGUUUUGAGAAAAGCAGUCCCGACGCUUCGGAGCAGGAACCAGCUGUGUUGGUGGAUAGUGAAAUACCCGGUGGAGCUAAACUGCUAGAGAAGUUGCAGGGAAGCAUUUCAGUUGAUGAAAAGGUGUUCUUGGCGGCGGCGGAUGCUGUAAAAACAGCAAUGUGCAAUUUGUUAAUUAAGAAGCAAUAUUCUGAUGAGAAACGAGAGUUCAGAAAGCGAACAAGAAAUGAUAGGAAAAGCAAGCAUUGAUUCAGUGUAUUGAUUGACAAUGUUGGUACAUGUAACAUUAGUUAUAUGGGAAUCUCCCAGCAUUGAUUCAGUGUAUUGAUUGACAAUGUUGGUACAUGUAACAUUAGUUAUAUGGGAAUCUCCCAAUCUAUUUAAGGCAUUGCAAAAACUCUCCAUUAUAGCCUUUUUUGGUUGAUGGAUGUCUAAUCUAACAAGUAUACAUUCUAGUAAUAAGUAGGGACAUAUAGUUAUUUUAUGGCUUAAAUGCAAAAUUGAUGUGUUUUUUACAUUUACCAGUUUGUUUCGUUCGCAUGUGACAUUUAUUUUUAAUUAAAGGGUAAAUUCACUAAUAGUCCCUCAACUUUGGAGUAGUUGACAAAACAGUCACUCAGAUUUCAAUUUAGUCAUUCAACUUUCGAAAAAUAACAAAAUAGUCACCACUAAUCAUUAUUCGUUAUGUUUGUAAUGGAAUUAUCAUUUUCCGUUACAGACUUUCAUUUUCCAUCCCCCUCUCCCAUCCCUCCCUUUUCCUUACUAUCCCUCCUCCCACUCUUAUGCUUUCCCUCCCCCCCCCCUAACAUCGUCCUUUUGCUAACCCUCUUCCCCUACUCUGAUUCUUUCCUUUCCCUCCCUCCCCCUACUUUGAUUCUCUAAUAAAGCAUUGUUUAUCAAUCUGGAUCCUCUUCUCUACUACACAGAGGGAGACAGACCCUACAACACAACUAACAAAACUACACCACCCAACACACUAUUAAGACCCACUUCACCUGUAUUUGUCCCCAAAAAUGCUGCUAUAUUGGCAAACACAUUUGAUGCCCCAUUUCCCAGUGGAAGGAGUGAAACCCCAACAACAGUUGGAGGCAACCUAAGCAGAUGUGAAAGCUUCUCCAAUGAACAACAAAAGUAAUUCGCUACCGUGUUGCCUAACAGAUAAAACAAAACAGCAAGCCAAACACCCAAUACCACAUACCCUACUAUCCUAAAUCCUUUGCAACCACAAUAGAAAAACUUAAUGUCAUCAAAGAAUCCAUCUGAAGAACAUUGGGGAUGAGCUUUCAAGAACUCGCAUGGAUUAGCAAAACCCUCAUGAUCAAACAAUCCAUAACACAAAGCAGGGUUGCUCGAGCUUAGGCUCAAAUCAUUCUCUUGAGCAUUCUUAUCAGCUAAAUUUGAUGAAUCUGCAUCAAGUUCACUAAUUUUUCUACGAAUAACACUAAAAUGAUCAUACCCAUUAGUGAAACCAGGUCCUUGAGUCACAUAGUUAAUAAGCAGAGACGACUAGCGAAUUGAGGGUUUCAUAAAAAAUUAACGUAGGUAUAGAAUAGGAAAAUCAGAAUCAAAGCAAAUAAUCCAUUGAAAAUUCCACAAAAUCUAGGAUUUUUUAAAGCAUAGAGACAAUAAUUCCUCAUUGAGAAACUACUCCAAAUUUCCUAGAAAGUGGAAUUAGACUAGGGUUUUUAGCAAAAGGAGCUAUGAAACCCCAACCCUGAAAUUAAUAAGAGAACUUGAAUUAAUAAAUUCGACUUACCGAUGGCCAAAGCAGCAAACUUAAUGAUUUUCGAAAGGAAGAGAGAGAGAAUUGAAGUAGGGGGAGGGAUGGUGGGAGAGAGGGAAGAUUAGGUGAAGAGGGUUAGCAAAGGGACAGUAGGGAAGAGGGAGAGGGAUGGGAAAGGGGGAUGGAAAAUGGAAGUUGGUAACGGAAAAUGGUAACUCCAUUAGGUCUGUAACGGAAAAUGGUUAGUGGUGACUGUUUUGUUAUUUUUCGAAAGUUGAGUGAUUGAAUUGAAACCUGAGUGACUGUUUUGUCA